CCUACGGGAGGCAGCAGUGGGGAAUUUUCCGCAAUGGGCGAAAGCCUGACGGAGCAACGCCGCGUGAGGGAUGAAGGCCUCUGGGCUGUAAACCUCUUUUAUCAAGGAAGAAGAUCUGACGGUACUUGAUGAAUAAGCCACGGCUAAUUCCGUGCCAGCAGCCGCGGUAAUACGGGAGUGGCAAGCGUUAUCCGGAAUUAUUGGGCGUAAAGCGUCCGCAGGCGGUCUUGUAAGUCUGUCGUUAAAGCGUGGAGCUUAACUCCAUUUCAGCGAUGGAAACUGCAAGACUAGAGUGUGGUAGGGGCAGAGGGAACUCCCGGUGUAGCGGUGAAAUGCGUAGAUAUCGGGAAGAACACCAGUGGCGAAGGCGCUCUGCUGGGCCAUAACUGACGCUCAUGGACGAAAGCCAGGGGAGCGAAAGGGAUUAGAUACCCCUGUAGUCCUGGCCGUAAACGAUGAACACUAGGUGUCGGGGGAAUCGACCCCCUCGGUGUCGUAGCCAACGCGUUAAGUGUUCCGCCUGGGGAGUACGCACGCAAGUGUGAAACUCAAAGGAAUUGACGG
rnacentral:rRNA from 1 species